AAUUUUUUUGACCGAGGCGAUCGUGGGCGUAUCCAGUAUCCACCAAUCCCGCAUCCUUCUCGAGCCCCACAUCCCUAGCCAUGCCUCGCCGCCACCUCUCUUUCCCCCCAUUCAUCCUCUCGAGCCGCUGCCGCCGCCACCCCUAUCUCUCCUCCUCACACAUCCUUUCUCCUCGUCACAUCUGGCCGGAGGAGAAUGCUGCGGCCGCAUCCCCUGGCGAUGGCAGUGGGGGCGGGUGAGGCUGCAAGGCGACGAGCCAAGGCGGCAGUGCAGGGCCUCACAGGUUCUCGAUCUGGAGCGGCAGGGACGGACGCCGGCGAGGCUGGUCCCCCACCUCUCCUCACCUUCUCCGACGUUCCCGGUCUGGAGCGGGAGGGACGGACGCCGGCGAGGCCAGCCUCCCUUCACACACAGAUGAAGGAGGAUGGAGGGAAUGUGGAUACGGCUUGGUUAGCAUCUAUUGAGGAAGUCACUAUGAAACAAGAGGAGAUGGAUAGGACUUUCAGAUUUGGCGUUCUCCCUGUCACUUACUGCCUGAUUUAUACACGGAAAUAAACAGAUAAUUUUACAGUCCGUACAUCGCAGGCCAAUAUAAAAAAGUACUUUUCCACUUCACAAAAUAAUACCUCAAAAGACACAUGUAUGAAGGGUAUACUGUUUUCCCAAUCAAAGUUGGAAACGGACGCGCCAAUGUCAUUGCUCGGCUUAUCAUUGGAGUCGACAACAGAGCUCCCAUCGCAACAAACUGGGCUCAAUUCUUUCGCAUGACAAAUAUGAGAGCAGGAGCACCAUAUGUGUUUGCCUUUGAGGAACUAGCUGGGGAGCUCCAUCUCACUGUACAGACUCCCUCUGAUAGUGGUGUAGGCAGCCACCGGCAUUAUCUGAUAAUAUAGUUUAGGUUCAGGACUUGCGUCAUGUACUGUUUUGUGGCCCGUGAAAUCUGCUUCACAUCACCUUAUUCUUUUUUUUUGCGGGUGAUCACCUUAUUCUUUCUGACUCGGCUACUUGGUUGUACGAACUGGAAGUACUCCAAAUGGUCUAAUUGUAGUUUCGUAGGAUUUAUAGUGCCUCUGUGUUGAGAAAAUCAAUUCUAUGUUUCUCGCUUU